rnacentral:rRNA from 1 species
UACGUAGGUGGCGAGCGUUGUCCGGAUUUACUGGGCGUAAAGGGAGCGUAGGCGGACUUUUAAGUGAGAUGUGAAAUACCCGGGCUCAACUUGGGUGCUGCAUUUCAAACUGGAAGUCUAGAGUGCAGGAUAUGAGAAUGGAAUUCCUAGUGUAGCGGUGAAAUGCGUAGAGAUUAGGAAGAACACCAGUGGCGAAGGCGAUUCUCUGGACUGUAACUGACGCUGAGGCUCGAAAGCGUGGGGAGCAAACAGGAUUAGAUACCCCCGUA